UACGUAGGGUGCAAGCGUUAAUCGGAAUUACUGGGCGUAAAGCGUGCGCAGGCGGCUUGCAAGACAGAUGUGAAUCCCGGCUCACUGGGAACUGCAUUUGUGACUGCAAGGCUAGAGUACGGUAGAGGGGGAUGGAAUUCCGCGUGUAGCAGUGAAAUGCGUAGAUAUGCGGAGGAACACCGAUGGCGAAGGCAAUCCCCUGGACCUGUACUGACGCUCAUGCACGAAAGCGUGGGGAGCAAACAGG
rnacentral:rRNA from 1 species